rnacentral:lncRNA from 1 species
GUCUAGGAACUUCAAGAAAGAAAGGUAAAUGAAAGAGGAUAUAUGAAAGAGAAAGAAUAGAGGCACUAGGAUUAGGACCUCUCCUAGAUUUGAUGGAAGGUAUGCUAGGAUUAGGACCUCCCCUAGACUUAUGAAGAAGAAAGAAGGAGAGAUGGGGGCAGCAACUUGAAGAGAAACUUAGGUGUUGGUUUCAUGGGAAGAG